rnacentral:rRNA from 1 species
AUGAGAUAUCCCUACGUAAAGUAGUAAGACCCCUUGAAGACGACGAGGUAGAUAGGGCAGAGGUGGAAGUGUGGUAACACAUGGAGCUGACUGUUACUAAUCGGUCGAGGGCAUAACCAU